GCUCACGUAGGCAUAGGAGAAUGAAACUUCUGUACAUUUUAAUCUGAAUAAUUCUUCAGGAUUUAAAAUUAGUUGGCUCUGGCGUGGUUGGACCGUACUUGAAUCUCGCCACCUCUGCGUUUCCCGAGUCACUGGCUAAGAGGUGAUUUUUUUUUUUUUUUUUGAACUGGGUUUAUGUGCGUCCCCCUCACCCCCUCCUCUCUUUUUCUUUCUCUCUGUCUCUGUCGUCUCUCUCGCUGGCUUUUUAAAAAUGAGGAACCGUUCCUUGAACGUUCUGGACAGAGCACAGAAUUGCUUCUUAAGUCAGCCCGGCGCGGGUGCAAUAGACAGCAAAAAGGUAAACGUUUGCCUGAAAUCCGCACGCCAGCUCCACCACCCCGCCCGAUGAUUUUUCUCUCCUUUACUUGGAAGGCAAAGAAGAGAGUGGGUUUGCUGCUCUAAACCCUGUGACCUAAGAGUCAUCUAAUGCUCUGAGUUCAGAUCAGCAAGUACCUCCCUUUUCCCAACUCAGAAGUUGGCAUAGCAUGAACUUUCAUCAGA